rnacentral:lncRNA from 1 species
GUGAGAUGACAUUUUUUUCCCUCUACAUGUGUCAGCACUUCCCAGAUGUGAUGAUGGUAUUUGAAAGAGCAUGAUCUGGAAAUCCUGAGCCGUGCUGCCACAAGAAAAUGGAUGCACAGAGGACAAGGCCAGGCAGCGCAGGUCUUCAUUACACUGAGACUUUGCCUGAGUCCCAUGGUGCCCCAGUGCCCUGGCCUGGGCACAUCAGCACUGCCUUCUGUCCAGGCCCCAUGAGUCUCAGAUGGUGGACCCUGGUGACGGAAGGCUGGGUAGAUGCCAUGGACCUUUCCAUAGGUCAUAGCCACAGCUGAGCACUUGGUGUCUUACUACUCAGUGGAGAGGAGAAGUGUGCUGAAGGGUGGUAAGAGAGUGUGUCCAGGGGCCCAGACCAGAGUGGGCCA